rnacentral:rRNA from 1 species
CAAGCGUGUCCGGAUUAUUGGGCGUAAAGCGAGCGCAGGCGGUUUUUUAAGUCUGAUGUGAAAGCCUUCGGCUCAACCGAAGAAGUGCAUCGGAAACUGGGAAACUUGAGUGCAGAAGAGGACAGUGGAACUCCAUGUGUAGCGGUGAAAUGCGUAGAUAUAUGGAAGAACACCAGUGGCGAAGGCGGCUGUCUGGUCUGUAACUGACGCUGAGGCUCGAAAGUAUGGGUAGCAAACAGGAUUAGAUACCCUGGUAGUCCAUACCGUAAACGAUGAAUGCUAAGUGUUGGAGGGUUUCCGCCCUUCAGUGCUGCAGCUAACGCAUUAAGCAUUCCGCCUGGGGAGUACGGCCGCAAGGCUGAAACUCAAAGGAAUUGACGGGGGCCCGCACAAGCGGUGGAGCAUGUGGUUUAAUUCGAAGCUACGCGAAGAACCUUACCAGGUCUUGACAUACUAUGCAAAUCUAAGAGAUUAGACGUUCCCUUCGGGGACAUGGAUACAGGUGGUGCAUGGUUGUCGUCAGCUCGUGUCGUGAGAUGUUGGGUUAAGUCCCGCAACGAGCGCAACCCUUAUUAUCAGUUGCCAGCAUUAAGUUGGGCACUCUGGUGAGACUGCCGGUGACAAACCGGAGGAAGGUGGGGAUGACGUCAAAUCAUCAUGCCCCUUAUGACCUGGGCUACACACGUGCUACAAUGGAUGGUACAACGAGUUGCGAACUCGCGAGAGUAAGCUAAUCUCUUAAAGCCAUUCUCAGUUCGGAUUGUAGGCUGCAACUCGCCUACAUGAAGUCGGAAUCGCUAGUAAUCGCGGAUCAGCAUGCCGCGGUGAAUACGUUCCCGGGCCUUGUACACACCGCCCGUCACACCAUGAGAGUUUGUAACACCCAAAGUCGGUGGGGUAACCUUUUAGG